UACGUAGGGUCCGAGCGUUGUCCGGAAUUAUUGGGCGUAAAGAGCUCGUAGGCGGUUUGUCGCGUCUGCUGUGAAAUCCCGAGGCUUAACCUCGGGUCUGCAGUGGGUACGGGCAGACUGGAGUGCGGUAGGGGAGAAUGGAAUUCCUGGUGUAGCGGUGGAAUGCGCAGAUAUCAGGAGGAACACCGAUGGCGAAGGCAGUUCUCUGGGCCGUAACUGACGCUGAGGCGCGACAGCGUGGGGAGCAAACAGG
rnacentral:rRNA from 1 species